GAUAGAGAGAGAGAGAGAUGGAGAUAGAUUUUUAAUUUUUAAAUAAAAUUUUAUAUAGAUUGAUUAAUUAGGAGGGUUUUAGUAAUAUAAAUGAAUAAAUUAAUAUUAAUUAUAAAGUUAGUAAUGUAAGUGAAAAAAGGAUAAAUAUGUAUAAGUAAUUUUAAUUAGAUGUACCUUUUGUAUCAGGGUUUAUUAAAUUAAAUUUUUGAUUAAAUAUUUCUCGAUAAAAAAAGAUUUAAAUAAAUAAUAAAUUUAAUGUGAAAUAAUUAUUUUAGAUAUUUAUUUAGAGAAGAUAUUUUAGUCAAUUUUUUAUGUAUCUAGUUUUUUUUUAGAUAAAUUUAAUUUAGAUAUAAAUUUAAAUUAUAAAUAAUUUAUUAAUAAUAAGUUAAAUAAUGAGAUUUAUAUAAAAAAUUUAUGGGAUAAUCUAUAAGUUAAUUUAAAAUAUUUGGUAUAGUGGAAAUAGCGAUAAUAAAUAUAUUUUUAAAAUUUAAAAUUUUUUGAGAAAAUUUAAUAAUUUAUAUUAUAUGAAGUUUAAGAAAAUAAUAUUGUAAUUAUAUAUUUGAUUUAAAAUAUUUUAUUUAAUUGAAUAGAAAAAUGAUUUAAUUAAUAAUAUAUUGAGUGUAAUAAUGAUAGAAUUAGUAUUAUAUUAAAAAUUUUGAUUUUUGUAAUUAAUAGUUAAAAAGGAAAAAAUUUUUUUUUAAGAAUUAGGCAAUAAUAAUUUAUUAUAAAUUAAUGAUAAUAAAAUUAAAUUCACCUGUUUAAUAAAAACAUGGUUUUAUGGAAAUUUAUAUAAAAUUAGUUCUGCUCAAUGAAUUAUAAGAAUUUAAAUAGCCGCAGUAUUUUGACUGUGCUAAGGUAGCAUAAUCAAUUGUCUUUUAAAUGGAGACUGGGAUGAAGGAAUAGAUGAGAUUUAAGCUUUUUUGGAAAAAAAAUAAGAAUUUAAAUUUUGAGUUAGAAUUCUUAAAUUAAAUUAUGGGACGAGAAGACCCUAUAGAAUUUUAUAUAGUUUUAUAAUAUUAUGAAUUUAAUUAAUUAAAUUAUAAGAUUAUAUUUUAUUGGGAGGAUAAUAAAAUUUUAUAAACUUUUAUUUUUUAUAUUAAUAAUUGAAAUAAAAAUAAUUAGUUAAAACAUUAAUUAAUGAAAAAUUGAAUGAAUUUUUUAAGGUUAAAUUUAUAGGAGAAUUAAUUACCUUAGGGAUAACAGCGUAAUAUUUUUAUAGAGAUCUUAUUUGUAAAAAUGGUUGCGACCUCGAUGUUGAAUUAAAAUUAAAAUUAAAUGGAGAAGUUUAAUUAUUUAGUCUGUUCGACUAUUUAAAUUUUACAUGAUUUGAGUUUAGAUCGGUGUGAGCCAGAUCGGUUUCUAUCUAUAAUUGAAUUGAAAUUAUUUUGUACGAAAGGACUGAUAAAUUUAGAAUAAUUUUUAUAAAUAUUAGGAAUAAAAAUAAAAUAGGAA
rnacentral:rRNA from 1 species